GAUUAGCUAGUGGGUGGGGUAAUGGCUCACCACGGCGACGAUCCGUAACUGGUCUGAGAGGAUGAUCAGUCACACUGGAACUGAGACACGGUCCAGACUCUACGGGAGGCAGCAGUGGGGAAUAUUGGACAAUGGGCGAAAGCCUGAUCCAGCCAUGCCGCGUGUGUGAAGAAGGUCUUCGGAUUGUAAAGCACUUUAAGUUGGGAGGAAGGGCAGUAAGCUAAUACCUUGCUGUUUUGACGUUACCGACAGAAUAAGCACCGGCUAACUCUGUGCCAGCAGCCGCGGUAAUACAGAGGGUGCAAGCGUUAAUCGGAAUUACUGGGCGUAAAGCGCGCGUAGGUGGUUUGUUAAGUUGGAUGUGAAAGCCCCGGGCUCAACCUGGGAACUGCAUCCAAAACUGGCAAGCUAGAGUACGGUAGAGGGUGGUGGAAUUUCCUGUGUAGCGGUGAAAUGCGUAGAUAUAGGAAGGAACACCAGUGGCGAAGGCGACCACCUGGAAUGAUACUGACACUGAGGU
rnacentral:rRNA from 1 species